GGAGAGGUGUCCGAGCGGUUUAAGGAGCUAGUCUUGAAAACUAGUGAUACGAAAGUACCCAGAGUUCGAAUCUCUGCCUCUCCGCCA
rnacentral:tRNA from 1 species